UACGUAGGGUGCGAGCGUUGUCCGGAAUUACUGGGCGUAAAGAGCUUGUAGGUGGUUUGUCGCGUUGUUCGUGAAAUCUCACGGCUUAACUGUGAGCGUGCGGGCGAUACGGGCAGACUAGAGUACUGCAGGGGAGACUGGAAUUCCUGGUGUAGCGGUGAAAUGCGCAGAUAUCAGGAAGAACACCAAUGGCGAAAGCAGCUUUCUGGGACGGUACUGACGCUGAGACGCGAAAGCGUGGGGAGCGAACAGG
rnacentral:rRNA from 1 species